CGCGUAGGCGGCUUGGUAAGUGAGAAGUGAAAGCCCACGGCUUAACCGUGGAGGUGCUUCUCAUACUGCUGAGCUAGAGGAUGGGAGAGGGAAGUGGAAUUCCUGGUGUAGCGGUGAAAUGCGUAGAGAUCAGGAGGAACACCGGUGGCGGAAGGCGGUCUUCCUGGACCAUGCCUGACGCUGAGGCGCGAAAGCGUGGGGAGCAAACA
rnacentral:rRNA from 1 species